GGGGAUUUAGCUCAGCGGCAUAAGCGCCUGCCUUGCAAGCAGGCGGUCGUGUGUUCAAUCCCUG
rfam:Cavia porcellus supercont2_137 genomic scaffold, whole genome shotgun sequence.